rnacentral:rRNA from 1 species
AAAGGUGCUUGCAUCUUGAUUUAAUUUUGAACGAGUGGCGGACGGGUGAGUAACACGUGGGUAACCUGCCCUUAAGUGGGGGAUAACAUUUGGAAACAGAUGCUAAUACCGCAUAAAUCCAAGAACCGCAUGGUUCUUGGCUGAAAGAUGGCGUAAGCUAUCGCUUUUGGAUGGACCCGCGGCGUAUUAGCUAGUUGGUGAGGUAACGGCUCACCAAGGCAAUGAUACGUAGCCGAACUGAGAGGUUGAUCGGCCACAUUGGGACUGAGACACGGCCCAAACUCCUACGGGAGGCAGCAGUAGGGAAUCUUCCACAAUGGACGCAAGUCUGAUGGAGCAACGCCGCGUGAGUGAAGAAGGCUUUCGGGUCGUAAAACUCUGUUGUUGGAGAAGAAUGGUCGGCAGAGUAACUGUUGUCGGCGUGACGGUAUCCAACCAGAAAGCCACGGCUAACUACGUGCCAGCAGCCGCGGUAAUACGUAGGUGGCAAGCGUUAUCCGGAUUUAUUGGGCGUAAAGCGAGCGCAGGCGGUUUUUUAAGUCUGAUGUGAAAGCCCUCGGCUUAACCGAGGAAGUGCAUCGGAAACUGGGAAACUUGAGUGCAGAAGAGGACAGUGGAACUCCAUGUGUAGCGGUGAAAUGCGUAGAUAUAUGGAAGAACACCAGUGGCGAAGGCGGCUGUCUGGUCUGUAACUGACGCUGAGGCUCGAAAGCAUGGGUAGCGAACAGGAUUAGAUACCCUGGUAGUCCAUGCCGUAAACGAUGAAUGCUAGGUGUUGGAGGGUUUCCGCCCUUCAGUGCCGCAGCUAACGCAUUAAGCAUUCCGCCUGGGGAGUACGACCGCAAGGUUGAAACUCAAAGGAAUUGACGGGGGCCCGCACAAGCGGUGGAGCAUGUGGUUUAAUUCGAAGCAACGCGAAGAACCUUACCAGGUCUUGACAUCUUUUGAUCACCUGAGAGAUCAGGUUUCCCCUUCGGGGGCAAAAUGACAGGUGGUGCAUGGUUGUCGUCAGCUCGUGUCGUGAGAUGUUGGGUUAAGUCCCGCAACGAGCGCAACCCUUAUGACUAGUUGCCAGCAUUUAGUUGGGCACUCUAGUAAGACUGCCGGUGACAAACCGGAGGAAGGUGGGGAUGACGUCAAAUCAUCAUGCCCCUUAUGACCUGGGCUACACACGUGCUACAAUGGAUGGUACAACGAGUUGCGAGACCGCGAGGUCAAGCUAAUCUCUUAAAGCCAUUCUCAGUUCGGACUGUAGGCUGCAACUCGCCUACACGAAGUCGGAAUCGCUAGUAAUCGCGGAUCAGCACGCCGCGGUGAAUACGUUCCCGGGCCUUGUACACACCGCCCGUCACACCAUGAGAGUUUGUAACACCCGAAGCCGGUGGCGUAACCCUUUAGGGAGCGAGCC